GCGCACGGUGGCUUAGUGGUUAGCACGUUGCCCUCACAACUCCAAAGUCCGGGGUUCGAUUCCCGCCGGGGCC